AUACUUACCUGGACGGGGUCUAUGGGUGAUCAACAAGGCUCAUGGCCUAGGCCCGCGGCCCACAUUGCACUCGGUGGGCGCGCUGGCCUACCAUCUCCCCAAGUGGGAGAGUGGACGUCAUAAUUUGUGGUAGAGGGGGUACGCGCCAUGCGCGGCCCCUGC
rnacentral:snRNA from 9 species